rnacentral:tRNA from 5 species
GCCUCGGUAGCUUAGUGGUAAAAGCGUUAAACUGAAGCUUUAGAUAUGGGAGUUCAAUUCUCUCCCGAGGCA